rnacentral:lncRNA from 1 species
GCAGGGAGAGCUGGAGAGGCAGCGAGGAUCGUCCCUCAGAGCCUGGCGAGUGAGCGCGGCCCAGCCAGGAGAGCUGGAGAGGCCCGGAGGAUCUUCCCUCAGAGCCUAGCGAGGGGGCGCGACCCAGCCAGGAGAGCUGGAGAGGCCCGGAGGAUCUUCCCUCAGAGCCUAGCGAGGGGGCGCGGCCCAGCCAGGAGGGCUGGAGAGGCAGCGAGGAUCUUCCCUCAGAGCAUGGCGAGGGGGCGUGGCCCAGCCAGGAGAGUUGGAGAGGCAGCGAGGAUCUUCCUUUAGAGCCUAGCGAGGGGGCGUGGCCCAGCCAGGAGGGCGGGAGAGGCAGCGAAGAUCUUCCCUCAGAGCCUGGCGAGGGGGCGCGGCCCAGCCAGGAGAGCUGGAGAGGCAGCCAGGAUCUUCCCUCAGAGCCUGGCGAGGGGGCGCGGCCCAGCCAGGAGAGCUGGAGAGGCAGCCAGGAUCUUCCCUUAGAGCCCGGCGAGCGGGCGGGGCCCUGCCUACACCCCGACUUCAUCCCAGUGAAGGACGUCGGACUUCUGGCCUCCAGAGCUGCGAGAAAAUACAUUUGAGAUGUUUAAGCCGCCCAAUGUCUGGUCAUUUGUUACAAAAGAUAUGGAAAAUCAACGCACCAGUAACUGGAGAAAAUUGAUCACGACUGAAAGGCAGUGGGCAAAACGUACUGUUGUAGGUCAGCCCAGACCAGAAACUGAAAAGAGAUCAUGGGAAGGCAUAUCAGGGACGGAGCCCACGCUUCAGGGCCAUUCUGCUGGGCUUUCCUACAGUGACCUCACCAUCACCACCACCAACGACAACACUACAGCCCUGACCUCACCAUCACCACCACCAAUGACAACACUACAGCCCUGACCUCACCAUCACCACCAACAACAACGACAUCACAGCCCCGACCUCACCAUCACCACCACCAAUGACAACGACAUCACAGCCCCGACCUCACCAUCACCACCACCAAUGACAACGACAUCACAGCCCUGACCUCACCAUCACCACCACCACCGACAAUGACAUCACAGCUCCGACCUCACGAUCACCACCACCAAUGAUGAUGCUACAGCCCCGACCUCACCAUCGCCACCACCAAUGACAAUGACAUCACAGCCCCGACCUCACCAUCACCACCAAUGACAAUGACAUCACAGCCCUGACCUCACCAUCACCACCACCAAUGACAAUGACAUCACAGCCCCGACAUCACCAUCACCACCAAUGAUGACGCUACAGCCCUGACCUCACCAUCACCACCACCAACGACAACGACAUCACAGCUCCGACCUCACGAUCACCACCACCAAUGACGAUGCUACAGCCCUGACCUCACCAUCACCACCACCAAUGAUGACACUAUAGCCCUGACCUUACCAUCACCACCGCCAAUGACAAUGACAUCCCAGCCCCGACCUCACCAUCACCACCACCAAUGACAAUGACAUCACAGCCCCGACCUCACCAUCACCACCACCAAUGACGAUGCUACAGCCCCGACCUCACCAUCACCACCACCAAUGACAACGACAUAACAGCCCUGACCUCACCAUCACCACCAAUGACAACGACAUCACAGCCCCGACCUCACCAUCACCACCAAUGACAAUGACAUCACAGCCCCGACCUCACCAUCACUACCACCAAUGACAACGACAUCACAGCCCCAACCUCACCAUUACCACCACCAACAACAGACAUCAUGGCCCACAGGUGGCCAAACCCUUCAAUCACCUGCAAACCAGUGACCCUCACUUUUGCUUCUGAGACUUAUAAAAGCAAAAACAAAAAAACAGAUUCUCAAACCCAAACCGUGGCAAUUCUGGUUCAGCAGGUGUUAGUUGAGACCAGGCACUUUCAUUUAAAAUCACUACAGAAGUGUUUUUAUGCACAUCCAAAAUUGAGAACCCCUGUGACAGCUCCUUAAUAUUCCCAAAGGGUUAUUUAAGACUUACACAUCUUUAAAUGUGUGAGUACACAAUGGUCGAUGAUCCUGCAAUUCUCAUUUAUAAAAAGAUGGCAGUCGUAUCCAACUCCCGAGACGGUGAACCCGCACCAUUUCCAUGCGCGCUCGGUGCACAGGGCUGGCCUCACGUUGGCCAGCGACUCCCUCCCGGCGAGUCAGUUCUCAACUUGCUUCAGCAGAGGUGCAUAUGGUAGGGAGUGGCCCAACCUUUGGGAUGGCCAGAGAUCAUCAGACCUGUGGGUCCAUGUGCCGUUUGCUGUCAUAAGUUCCUGUCAUAAUUCCCUGUGUGCCCAUUUUGUUGGAUGUGUUCACACUGUAUUUUAGUUGCCAAUGACUAUAUUUCAGUGUGUCUGCAUAGAGGGCUGUGCUCUGUAUUUCAGCAUGUCCGCAUGGAGAGCUGUGUGUGUUUCUAUAUUUCAGUGUGUCUGCAUAGAGGCCUGUGGGUGUCUUCAUAUUUCAGUGUGUCUGCAUAGAGGGCUGAGCUCCGUAUGUCAGCGUGUCUGCAUAGAGGCCUGUGGGUGUCUUCAUAUUUCAGUGUGUCUGCAUAGAGGGCUGAGCUCCGUAUGUCAGCGUGUCUGCAUAGAGGCUGUGUGUGUCCCCUUAAUCUUUGUUACUCUAGUUUUCAGAUAUUGUCUGGAACUGGAGAAGCCCCACAUUUUAUGAUGGAUAAAUAAAUAAAGGUUAAACGCAGGGCUGCGGAGCUCCGUUGCCUUCCUCGUAAUUCUGCGAGACUCUGCGAUAUACUUUUCAGGGAGCAUCACAUUAGCUGUCACACACUGAGUGUCAACCAAAGCCACGCAAGGUGGCCUAAAAUUAACGAGCUCGUUAUGGAGGAGCCUCCACUAACUAAGUCAACAAAUGCAAACUGGUUUGGUAACCUUCUGUAAAGAAAAGAUCCAUCAUUGGUUAAUAUUUA